rnacentral:rRNA from 1 species
GACGAACGCUGGCGGCGUGCUUAACACAUGCAAGUCGAACGAUGAAGCCGGAGCUUGCUCCGGUGGAUUAGUGGCGAACGGGUGAGUAACACGUGAGCAAUCUGCCCUUGACUCUGGGAUAACUGCGGGAAACUGUAGCUAAUACCGGAUACGACACCUUGGGGCAUCCCAGGGUGUGGAAAGAAUUUCGGUCAAGGAUGAGCUCGCGGCCUAUCAGCUAGUUGGUGAGGUAAUGGCUCACCAAGGCGACGACGGGUAGCCGGCCUGAGAAGGUGACCGGCCACACUGGAGCUGAGACAAGGUCCAGACUCCUACGGGAGGCAGCAGUGGGGAAUAUUGCACAAUGGGCGAAAGCCUGAUGCAGCAACGCCGCGUGAGGGAUGAAGGCCUUCGGGUUGUAAACCUCUUUUAGCAGGGAAGAAGCGAAAGUGACGGUACCUGCAGAAAAAGCACCGGCUAAUUACGUGCCAGCAGCCGCGGUAA